AUGUUAAUUUUGGAUCACACUUCCAAAUUGCAAUGUAAACUAAAACAUUACACUCUAAUCCCUGAACUUGUAGUUUUCAUCAUCCGAGUCAUCUGUGGACUCCCAUUUUUCAACUUCCUCCCAAUGCGUAAUGAGCUUGUCAGCGUAGCAAUCACUGCACCAUUCCGUCUUUUGAGGGGUGCACUUGCAAACAAGAGGAGAUGGUGGCUUUGGAGGCGAGGGAGUUGGAGAUCGGUAAACUUGAACAUUAUCGGAAUUUACAGAAAAAAGAUCCUUGCAAAGUUGACAUGGACGCAAAUCAUGUGGAACAUGGUUACAAAAGUUAGGCGUAACAUGAACUUUCGGAUCAUUUGGAUCCCAACCUUGCUGUUUUGGGUUGUUGACAACGUGAGGUUGGUUUGA
rnacentral:lncRNA from 1 species